rnacentral:tRNA from 1 species
GGGCCUAUAGCUCAGUCGGUUAGAGCAGCGGACUCAUAAUCCGUUGGUCCACAGUCCGAGUCUGUGUGGGCCCACCA